UAAUGGCUUUCAUUUUCCAGAGGUCAAUGCAUCUUCACCUCUCCAGCAUUGCUGCUGUCAUUGUCCAACAUUUUUAAGCAGCACUAAAACAUGCACAGUGUCAUCUAACCUCACAGAUUUUAGAGGUUCAAACAAACAUCAAGGCUGUCACAAAGUAAAUAAACACUUGCCAAAUUAUCAGUGGCCAACUCCAUCCUCUAACCAACUUCCUCCAGAUGUCCGACAUAUCCUGUCUAAGCACAAAACAGGCGGUGCUUUUGAAAAUGAUGCUCAAUAGGAAAAAGAAAAAUGGAGUCUGCCUGUCAUAUAAUAAACAUGAACUAACUGAAGAGUAAACCCACAGUAUGCUUGGGUGAUUUCACAGAGUGUAUGGAUCUAAAUACAUUGUAUUUUUUUAAUUAAAGUAUUAAAAAAUCUUUUGAG